GAUGAACGCUAGCGGGGUGCCUAACACAUGCAAGCCGAGCGGUAGGGUUUCUUCGUAAAUGAGAGAGCGUCGUACGGGUACGUAACACGUGUGCAAGCUGCCUUUACCUGUAGGAUAGCCUUUCGUAAGGAAAAUCAAUACUCCAUAAUAUAUUUAACUGCAUCGUCUAAGAUUAAAAGUUCCGGCGGAUAGAGAUGGGCACGCUCAAGAUUACCUAGUUGGUUAGGCAACUGCCAACCAAGGCGAUGAUCUAUAGGGGGCCUGAGAGGGUGAUCCCCCACACUGGUAACGAGACCCGGACCAGACUCCUACGGGACGCAGCAGUGCGGAAUAUUAGUCGCUGGAUGCUAGCCUGACCCAGCCAUCCCGCGUGAAGAACGCCUGCCAUCUGGGUUGUAUACUUCUUUUGUAUAGGGAUAAACCUACCAACGAGACAGUACCUGACGGUACUAUACGAAUAAGCACCGGCUAACUACGUG
rnacentral:rRNA from 1 species